AAACAUGGUUAAGGAAUUGCAUACAGUAGUCCGAAGUAUAAAAAGAUAAGUUUGUUUUCAUUUUUCUUUCAUAAAUAUCUUUAUUUUCACUUUAAUUCUGCUCUUACUGACACCACAUCAUGUAAAGUAAGGAUAAAAAUGAUAUAACAGUCAUCAGUAAUAUAUUAUUUUAUUUUGUAUUUUAAUUGAUGGUUUGCGCUAAGGUAGUGGUAUAUCAAUUGAUGAAUUUUGGAACUUGUGGGGUUUUUUUCAAUCGAUACACUAUUUGUCAGAUUACAAAAUGACUGUCCUCAUAUAAUACGUUAUUUAUUUUCAAAAUAUUUUAUGCACAAACUGUUUUGAACAAGACGAAAAUGUGGACAAGUUUAAAUAUCAUGAUUGACUCUUUAUUUAUAAAUAUUCUCUUUAAAUGGGUUUUUUUCCCCAUUGAAAUAUGAUGUGUUCUUUAAAGGUAACGAUUUUGAGUAGUGCAACAUAGUAAUGGUCUCAGGCUUCUUCAAUUCUUCUUGUGUCAUAUGACAAGUUUUCGCGUUACUGUCCAAUGAAUUUUCUAAAUGAAUUCCUUAAAUCUCUUUGAUUUUUUUUAAGCCAACUUCCAGAAAUUUGAAGAAAAAAAACAUCCACAAUUUUAUAUUUAUCUAACAUUAUUUCUAAUGAUUAAAAAAACUCUGGUCUCUAUUAUUUCAAGCUUCUAAUGAAUCUGUAAAGUGAACGUUCUCAGGGUCAGAGUUAUAGAGCCUGACGAUUCCAUAUAAUGAUUUUAUUACUGUCAUGGACUCUUUCGAUCUUGAUAUGUGUCCAUACUAGAUAUAAUGAAUUUCCAGGGAGUAUCGUCCGGAACCAAGGGCAGAGGACCUCUACCGGAAGUUGCAAUAUACAUGUCUUCCGUAGGUCUUUAAUUACCUGUAGGUCUUCAAUUAGGUAUGCCCAAUUCAUGCGCCAUAUUGUGAUGGUAUAAUGGCAGAUUUCGACAUCGAAAGUAAGAUAUCUUGUAAAUCAAUAUUGGUAAUUUUACGAAUUAAGGAUAACCCUCGUCUAUGCCUAUGCACUGAUUUGAUAUUUUUUUUCUUUGUCAGACGCAAGUCUUGAAACACUGAGGAAGGAGACACGAAAAAAGAAAGAGAAAGCAAUGUGCAUCACAUGUAAAGAAAAUCUUCGUGAGAUUCUGUUUCUUCCAUGUUCGCAUUUUCUGCACUGCAGAGUGUGUGGGGAACACUUUGACAAUUGUGACUUAUGCAAUACGCAUAUAAAGGCCCGUCUUCUAUUGAGAAUGACUCAGUUUUAAGCAGUUUCAUGUUGAGCAGUCCCUUAGAGCAAUGUCUGCCUGAAUGUUAGAGUUCUGAAAACAAUGUGACCAUGUCUAUUCAUGUAAACAUCGUAGAUUAAAGUGAUUCAUAUUUCAG